UUUCGCCCAAACUUCUAAAAA
ensembl:piRNA 21ur-11354 ncRNA